UACGUAGGCAGCAAGCGUUGUUCGGAGUUACUGGGCGUAAAGGGUGUGUAGGCGGUUGGAUAAGUGUGGUGUGAAAUCUCCCGGCUCAACUGGGAGGGUGCGCUACAAACUGUCUGACUAGAGUGUGGGAUGGGUAAGUGGAAUUCCUGGUGUAGCGGUGAAAUGCGUAGAUAUCAGGAGGAACACCAGUGGCGAAGGCGGUUGCCUGGAGCUUUGCUGACGCUGAUGCGCGAAAGCGUGGGGAGCGAUCCGG
rnacentral:rRNA from 1 species